AUGAAGACAGAAACUUGUGGCGGCGGGAAAGUAUUUUUGGUGUGCCCCCUGGUCUUCGGGGAAUAUUUGGGUAUUUAUAGAAGAAGAAUUAGGGUUAGAGGAGCCAAGGGGGGGCACAAGCUUGGGGGCGCCCCCUUGAGCUUGUCAUCGCCUCGUGGCCCUUCUGGCCUCCUCCCGAAGCUUCCAGUGUGUCUUGUGGUCCAAGAAAAAUCGUCAAAAUGUUUCGUUUCAUUUGGACUUCGUUUGGUAUUGAUUUUCUAUAAAGACAAAAACAAGGAAAAACAACAACUGGCACUGGGUAGUAGGUUAAUAAGUUAG
rnacentral:rRNA from 1 species